rnacentral:tRNA from 1 species
CACUGCCGGAGGCCCCGGCGAACACGUCCGCCGGCUCGAAUUUGGCGGGGCGACAGACCAGUUCCGCACCGAACGGCAGUGUCC